rnacentral:lncRNA from 1 species
UGCUUCUUAGCUAAAUUCUGCUGGAUUUCUCGGUCAAUUAAGGUUUCUAGUGUGUCAUCGGGCCUUGCCCCCUUGUCAAGAUCAUUAACCUUUGAUAGAUACUGAAUUAUAACCUUGUACACAUAAAAAGCUUUGGAAAGGGAUCAAAUGAUCAAGUAGUAUAUUGGCCUGUUACCUUGGAUAAGAAUUCCAUCUGAGCAAACUUGAAAGGAAGGCCGAGGUACCCUACAAAAGUGGAGCCAAUGCGACAAUAGUGAACAAGACGAUGGACCUCUAGGCUUGGGUUGGGGGAAUUCACACAAUCUGCCACCUCUUUUAUGCAGUCUGCCAUCCUUGUGAGUAGCUUCUCCCGUUUCCUCUCCAUUGAAGCCAAUUAACAGAGCUGCUUCUGAGCUUACCCAACACUCUACUACUUUGAUUGCAGUACUCUGUCAUAUCAAGUUUCAGUAUUGUAUGUAUAUACAGAGGGAAAGAGAGAGAGAGGUUCUUCGAUCACUUGUGCACACGCUUUUUUUGACCAAAGACCCAUUAUCGAGCUAGUAUUCAACACAGUGGUGAGGACCCAAUUCCCACUAAAAUUGGGAAACAGACAAAAACCCAUUCGCAAGUGGGCAUUAUCUUCACCAGUAGAUUGGAAACAGACAAAAACCCAUUCGCAAGUGGGCAUUAUCUUCUCCACCAGUGGAUGAUAAAUAAUCAACAAAAUUUGACAUAAAUUGUAAAAUAAUAUAUUUUUUUUAUUAGAAAAAGGUUUUUAAAAUUUUAAAUUGGAAAAGAAUAAACCAACAAUGAUAAAAUAUCAAAGAGUGACUUAUUGAAUUCAGACAGUAGACAAUGAUUAUUGUUUAACCACAAAGCAAUACACUAAACCCAAUAAAUUAAUACUUAAUACUUUUUUGUUGUACACAAAUUUAAUAGAUGAAGAAACAAAUCAUCAAUAUUAAUGUAGAUAAAUAAGCUCCAACAUCAAUUUUGAACAUGGUAAUUGUCAUAAUUUGGCUUCCAAGCUAUCCGAAACCCAACUUAGAUCAUUGCAUCAAAAGUUUCGUGCAUAGGAUUGGGAUGUCCAAAGACUUUCUUAAAUUUACCAUUUUCCAAGGAUUAGUGGGUGGGUCAAGGCCCCAAAAAAGGGGUCCAAAAUUGUCAAAGAAAGGGUUGAGGCAUCAAGAUCGCACCCUGCGUCGGUGCAUAUGUGCCAGUAGGGGCCACCCUGGCCUCCAGACAAUAUUACCCUCAAAUUAAAUCAUUUGUAUAUGAAAGAAAUAGUCAAAACUUCGAAAAUUUUCAAAGAGUUACGAGUCACUAAAAAAGUGCUCUUAAAACUUUGAUAUUUUAUGAUAAUCGAAGUUCUAAACUUCACUUUAUAGGUAGGCUAUUCACACCAUAUAACAUAUUUUUUGUUAUUAUUAUUAUUUUCAAUAUAUAGAUACCAAUUUUUGGAUGAAGUUUUCAAUAUCUCAUUUAACAUAUUUUUCUCAUGUUUAGUUUUAUUAUAGGAAAUGAGAAAAAAAAUAAAAUAUAAUUAAAAUUAUUAAGAAAUUUUUAUAUUUUAAAAUUAUUUAAUAUUUAUAUAGAAUAGUUAAAUAUGUGAAAAAAGUUUGAAGAAAUAUAUAAAAAUGAUUUAUUAACUUUAAAACAAUUUUUUUAUUUUUCUUCACUUUUUCUUUUAUUUAACUUUUCCUCUUUAUUGUUUUUUCCCUUACAUUUUCCUUGAAACUUUUUGGGAACCAAACAUAGUCUUCGUGAAAUUUCCAAUACUAUAUGCUUUACUACCUCCGCAUAAGGAAAAAGGUCUUCUUCUAUAAAGGCCAUACAAUAUCGACAAGUUGUAGGUUCUCUUCAAUAUCUUUCUCUUUUACCCAACAAGAUUUCUCCUUUAUAGUCAAAAAGCUUGCUCAAUUUAUGCAUUGUCAUAUUAAAACCAUCAAUUGUUUGAAAGCUAACCUUUUAAUUAUCUCAAGUAUACCAUGUAUUGCAACCUUUUCAAUCAUGGAUGAAAAUAUUAGUUUUUACAAAAAUAUCGGCAGUUGGAUUUUAAGGAUAUAUUAUGAAUAUUGUAAAAUAUUGAUAAAAUUUUUUUUAUGAAAUGAAAGUUGAUCAAAACUAAAAUUUUUUAGGAAAAAAUCCUAAAAAUAAUAUAAGAAACAAUAAUACAUGUGUUGAAAUUCUUUUGUCAAAGAAAUUGAUAAAUGCACAAUAUAGUUUGUGACAUUUGAAAAUAAUAUGCAGAAUUUAAAAACACAUUUUAUAUAAAUCUAUUUAGUUUGAAUGUAUUGGAGGAUACUAAAAAAUGAUAAUAUAUGUAUGAUUUUUUUUUAAAUUAUUUAUAAAUUUGUAUUUUUCAUAUAUUUAAUUAAUAUACAAAAGAUAUAAAGAAAGACUAUCAAUAAGAUUAUGAGAAUGAUUUGUACAUUUUAUUCAACAAUCAAUUAAAUAUAAUAUCAUUAAAACUAAUUAAUUAAUUAAUUUUUUAUUUUUAUAUUUGUAUGAAUCUAUUAAAUAAUCUAUUUAUUUAUUUAAUUCCUUUUAAAUUGAAAAUAAGAGAUGAAUACUAUAUAAUUAAGGGUGAGAUAGCCUGGAUGGUAGAGAGUGCUUCUAUGUGUGAGGUUUGUGUUGACAGGCCAAAAAUGGGGAAACGUCCAUCCUUCAUCUCCAACUACUUGACUGAUAGUUAGUAGUCAAUUGGGUCCUCCACCACCAGCUACUCCUCUCAUGUACUGUGAGAAUAUUUGCUCUACAUAUUGAUGUGCUAAUCCUUGUGUCAUGUCACUUUCCAAUGAAGCAUGAUAUGGCUAUUGAUUUCCAUUCACCCAUGGUGCUCUUCAAGUUCCGACAAUUAAUCAGCAUCUUGUUGAUGUUCUCACCAUGUCAUUCUCCAAGCUUAAUUCACACUUCUCAAGUGAAUCGAAAAUCAAUAAUAAAAAAAUCAUUUUCCUUAAUUUUUUAUUUCAUAAUAAAAGAAUCGGAACAUGAAAAAGCACUACAACCUUGUACAAUGAUAAAUUAUUGCAUGUAGUCAAAGAUCAAAUCAAUUCAAGCAGUUGUUGGCCCAAUUCCCUUGAAUGAAAUAAACUGUCGAUGUAGUUCACUACUACAGCUGAUGAAUCUACAAAACUUUUCAUCUUAGCAGUCAUUGACACCUCUGGAAAACAACAUACAACUUUGAUCAGAAAAUUGUUGUCAUAGUGUUGUAUAUAUGUUGAUGUAUAUGUCCAUAAAACAUAGACUUAGGUGGUGUUUGUUUUUUUUACUAAAUUCUAAAUAGAACCUUAAUGCUUAAUAAUGUUAAUAAGUUGUUUGUUUUUAUAAUAUUUUAUUUUUAUUAAAUAUUAAAAAGUAAAGAAAAACCAAUAUAUUAUUUUUUUCUAUUUAAAAAAAGCUACAUAUUUUGACUUUUUGUAUUUAGUAAAAAGUUUAUAAUAAGUUAUAAAAACAAAUAACCUAAAUUCUAAAAACAAAUUACUUUUAGCAAAAAACCAAAAAAACAAACACCACCUUAUUAAUUACCAUUUUCGUGCAACUUCUUCAUAAGCUUGGCCCUUGUAGGAAGGGCAGGAAGCGAAGCAAGGACGGCAGUUCUGGUAGCCCAUCCAUGGUAUGCAGCAAAGGACUUUUCGUAUGACUUUGAAACCGCAUCCACAAUUGAGUUCCCUCUGCAAAUCAAGCAAACCCCCAUGUUGUAGUCGAUGGAAUAGUCUCACAAUUCAUCUAUGAAUGGAAAGGAAACUUGUUUAAACAUACCCUUUGGUUAGCAUUUGCUCAAACAUCACGGUUAGCAUCACGAUCGAACGCUUGACUCUGAUCAGGCUCCUUGAGCCACUAUAAGGCUUCUUAGCUAAAUUCUGCUGGAUUUCUCGGUCAAUUAAGGUUUCUAGUGUGUCAUCGGGCCUUGCCCCCUUGUCAAGAUCAUUAACCUUUGAUAGAUACUGAAUUAUAACCUUGUACACAUAAAAAGCUUUGGAAAGGGAUCAAAUGAUCAAGUAGUAUAUUGGCCUGUUACCUUGGAUAAGAAUUCCAUCUGAGCAAACUUGAAAGGAAGGCCGAGGUACCCUACAAAAGUGGAGCCAAUGCGACAAUAG